GCCAGCAGCUGUGAGCUCAUGAGACAGACGCUGCUAACACAGUCUUGGGGGGCAGGUCCCUGCUGCCGCCUGCCCUCCUGCACCACUCGGGGCCCACCUGGGUCCAGGUGGCUAGGGGUGUAAAUGGGGGACGGUGCAGAGGACCAGGCAGACCCUCCCAAGGAGAUCACCACCCAUACUGUGUGACCUUAGGCUUCAGUGUUCUCAUGGGGCAAUGGGCCUCAAGGACCCUGCCAGCUCUCUCAGGCUCCGAGCCACCAAGGCAUAUCCCCUACACCCAGCCUCACUCCUGCACAGAUGCCACUCUGCAGCGCUCCACCCCACUCACCCAGCCUCCUGGCUUCCUACGGAAGAUGCAGCACAUGCCUGUCCCGUGAUGGCAUCUGGACAUGCCAGGAAGAGUGGGCAUGGAGAGCGCACCACAGGCCUCUGGAACUGCAGCUCUCGUUGAGGACAAAAGAACAACCUUCUGAGCGCUGGGCGGGGCGCCUGCAGGAGGCGGGGCACUGAGGUGGGACCUGGGCUGGUGGGGCCGGGGCUGCCUCCUUCCCUUGUCCACUGAGGUCCCAUCUCCCUGCCAGAGGCUCCGGGCUUAAUUAAGCUGCCACUACCACUUGCAAUGUCACUUCUGAUAGACUCCAAGAGGGACCAAGGGACGAAGGUCACAGGAACCACAGCUCCCUGAAACAGGCUGCCCCUGAUGUCAGCGGCCUCCUAGGGUCUUUAAUGCCAGCCAGCUGCCCUUCGAAUGCCCGGCCCAGCCCCUGUCCCGCCUCACACCGAGAAGGGGGGCACUGUUUACAGCCCCUGCUUAAUUAAAUCAAUAAACCACCAAUGCAAAUCUGGCCGAGGGCCAGCUCUUUAGGGCGCUCGAGGCUGAGGAGAGGACUGAGUUAACAGCUGCUGCAAGAGAACGAGAAGAGGAGAGAAGGAGAGACAGGAGGAACAGAGGGAGAAGAGAACAGCCAGCCUGGGCGGGGGCUCCGAAGCAGGUCGAGUGUCGCAGCCCCCAGACCCCCUCUCUGGACCACAUCACAACCUAUAUCUGCAGCCCCCCUAGCGUCCUGUGCCCACCUUCAGGCUCUCCUUCUUCCUUCAGGACUCCUUCUGACUUCAGGAAAGGUUCUCCUAUCA
rnacentral:lncRNA from 1 species